rnacentral:lncRNA from 1 species
UCCUCCGUGCUGCGUAAGAGCUUGCUUGUGAGAUGAAGGUAAGCUGCCGACCCCUUGUCCGCCUCGUCCGACCCCUCUUAUCCGCCCGACGCCGUUCCGUCUCGUCCGACCCUGUCUGUUCCGCCGACCCUUCUCCGCCUGGCCCGAGGACUCGGCUGUGUCUUUUCUUUGAACCGAGGGUGCAUGUGUAAAAACUUGGGGACCUUCCAGCGUUGAGUCUGAGGACCCCUAGCACACCAAAUCCUCUAGUUUAAGGGUCAGAUCAUAAGUUCCUUUCCUCCGACCCUUACCUCUUGAUCUCCA